GAAAUACAUUGGUUUGGUUCAGAAAGGCGGGACAACUCAAAGUGGCGGGGGGUGGUGGGUGGGUAGUGGGGGUGGCUUCCAGGAUAUAGGUAAAUAUUUAAACAUUUUCUGGUUGACAAUUGGUUGAGUGUGUCUAAAGGCCCAGGAUCAAUAGAAAGGAAUGUUUGGGUUGCGAUAAGAGGUUGUGGAGACAAAAGUUUUAUCACAUAGAUGAAGCUUUUAGCUAGCAGGCUUCAGAGUGAACAGGCUGUAAAAUGUUUCUUAUCAGACCUAAAGUCUGAUUGAUGUUCACGCUGGAGAGGUAUAAUGAAGCGUGUCCGACCUUGCCUUUCCUUCAUGGCCUGAAAAUUUCAGGUUAAAAUUUUAAGAGCCUCGGCUAAGGAGGAACCAUCCAUUUAGAUGGUUGGCGGGGGUAGGGGAGGGGGAGGCUUAGAAUUUUAUUUUGCUGGAUCAUAUGGCAGUUCUACGUUCAAGUUUUUGAGGAACCACAGUGCUGUUUUAUAUAGUGGUUGCACCAUUUUGCAUUCCCACCAGCAGUGCACAGGGUUCCUAUUUCUCCACAUCCUUGCCAAUGUUUGUUAUUUUCUUUCAUUUUUUUUCUUUUUUGAGAUGGAGUUUCACUUGUCUUGUCACCCAGGCCGGAGUACAAUGGUGCUAAUUCGGCUCACUGUAACCUCUGCCCCUCGGGUUCAAGUGAUUCUCCUGCUUCAGACUCCUGAGUAGCUGGGAUUACAGGCACUCGUAACAAUGCCCAACGAAUUUUUAUAUUUUUAGUAGAGACAGGGUUUUGCCAUGUUGGCCAGGCUGGUCUUGAACUCCUGACCUCAGUUGAUCUGCCCACCUUGGCCUCCCAAAGUGCUAGGAUUACAGGUGUGAGCCACUGCACUCAGCCAUUUUCUGUUUUUUGAUAGUAGCCAUUCUAAUGGGUGUAAGGUGACAUUUCAUUGUGGUUUUGAUUUGCAUUUCCCCAAAGAUCAGUGAUGGUGAGCAUCUUUUCAUGUGCUUAUUGACCAUUUGUAGAUCAUCUUUGGAGAAACAUCUAUCCAAUUCUUUGCCUUUUUUUUUUUUUUUUUUUUUUUUAAGACAGGGUCUCAC
rnacentral:lncRNA from 1 species